CCUACGGGUGGCUGCAGUGGGGAAUAUUGGACAAUGGGGGGAACCCUGAUCCAGCCAUGCCGCGUGUGUGAAGAAGGCCCUCGGGUUGUAAAGCACUUUCAGUGAGGAAGAACGCCUGGUGGUUAAUACCCAUCAGGAAAGACAUCACUCACAGAAGAAGCACCGGCUAACUCCGUGCCAGCAGCCGCGGUAAUACGGAGGGUGCGAGCGUUAAUCGGAAUUACUGGGCGUAAAGCGCGCGUAGGUGGCUUGAUAAGCCGGUUGUGAAAGCCCCGGGCUCAACCUGGGAACGGCAUCCGGAACUGUGAAGCUAGAGUGCAGGAGAGGAAGGUAGAAUUCCCGGUGUAGCGGUGAAAUGCGUAGAGAUCGGGAGGAAUACCAGUGGCGAAGGCGGCCUUCUGGACUGACACUGACACUGAGGUGCGAAAGCGUGGGUAGCAAACAGGAUUAGAUACCCUAGUAGUC
rnacentral:rRNA from 1 species